rnacentral:rRNA from 1 species
UACGAGGGGAGCAAGCGUUGUUCGGAUUUACUGGGCGUAAAGGGCGCGUAGGCGGCGUGACUAGUCACUUGUGAAAUCUCCGGGCUUAACUCGGAACGGUCAAGUGAUACUGUCGUGCUAGAGUACAGAAGGGGCAACUGGAAUUCUCGGUGUAGCGGUGAAAUGCGUAGAUAUCAGGAGGAAUACCGAUGGCGAAGGCAGGUCUCUGGGCUGACACUGACGCUCAUGCACGAAAGCGUGGGGAGCAAACAGG